CUUUUCAGCCACAUUCCAACAAUAAUUGAUGACAGAAUCUCAGUCGGACCCUGUUGAUUUCACCGAGGAAGUGAUGGGUUUCUCUGCGUAGCCCUGAUUGUCCUGGAACCAGCUUCUGUAGAACAGACUAGCCUCAAAGUCAGAGAUCUGCUUGCCUCUGCCUCCUGAGUGCUGGGAUUAAAGGAAUGUGCCACCA